rnacentral:tRNA from 1 species
UAGGAAGUGGUGUACCGGAAGCGCUGGGAGUUUUGAUCUCCCCGGGCAGGGUUCAAAUCCCUUCUUUCUAA